GAUGAAGAACGCAGCGAAGUGCGAUAAGUAGUGUGAAUUGCAGAAUUCCGUGGAUCAUCGAAUUUUUGAACGCAAAUUGCACUCUCUGGUAUUCCGGAGAGUAUGCCUGUUUGAGGGUCAUUAAAAUCAAAAUCGAUUUGUUUACUUUGGUAACGUUUCGGAAUUGGGUCAUCUUAAACCUUCAGGUUCAAGAGGCUUAAAAUUGAUCAUUUUUUGGUAUGAAUUAUAAGCGUAUUUAAGAUCACUUAUCACGCGCUUGACGAGUAUCGGAUGUUUAUUAGGCGUGACCAUGAUCAUGGUUUCGCGCACAUAAUCUUUCCAUGAAAUGACCUCAAAUCAGGUAGGAAUACCCGCUGAACUUAAGCAUAUCAAUAAGCGGAGGA
rnacentral:misc_RNA from 1 species